UACGUAGGGCGCAAGCGUUGUCCGGAAUUAUUGGGCGUAAAGAGCUCGUAGGCGGCCUGUUGCGUCCGCCGUGAAAUCCCGGGGCUCAACCCCGGGCCUGCAGUGGAUACGGGCUGGCUGGAGGCAGGCAGGGGAGAACGGAAUUCCUGGUGUAGCGGUGGAAUGCGCAGAUAUCAGGAGGAACACCGGUGGCGAAGGCGGGUCUCUGGACAGUUCCUGACGCUGAGGCACGAAGGCCAGGGGAGCAAACGGG
rnacentral:rRNA from 1 species